rnacentral:rRNA from 1 species
GUAUUAAAGGCAACGCUGCCCAGUGAAUAAUUAAACGGCCGCGGUAUCCUAACCGUGCAAAGGUAGCAUAAUCAUUUGUCUAUUAAUUGUAGACCUGUAUGAAAGGCAAAAUGAGAGCCCAACUGUCUCUUAUAACAAAUCAAUUAAACUGAUCUUCUAGUCCAAAAGCUAGAAUAUUUACAUAAGACCAGAAGACCCUGUGAAGCUUUAACUAACCUAUUAAACCUAAUAAUAACUACUUUCGGUUGGGGCGACCUUGGAAUAAAAAAGAACUUCCAAUCAUAUGACUUCUCAUAAAAUAAGGCAAACAAGCCACACUAGACCCAGUAUUACUGAUGAUUGAAAUAAGUUACUCCAGGGAUAACAGCGCUAUCUUCUUUUAGAGCCCAUAUCAAAAAGAAGGUUUACGACCUCGAUGUUGGAUCAGGACAUCCCAGUAAUGCAACCGUUACUAAAGGUUCGUUUGUUCAACGAUUAAUAGUCCUACGUGAUCUUAG